UACGUAGGGGGCUAGCGUUGUCCGGAAUCAUUGGGCGUAAAGAGCGUGUAGGCGGCUCGGUAAGUCCGCUGUGAAAGUCAAAGGCUCAACCUUUGAAAGCCGGUGGAUACUGUGGGACUAGAGUACGGAAGAGGCGAGUGGAAUUCCUGGUGUAGCGGUGGAAUGCGCAGAUAUCAGGAGGAACACCAAUAGCGAAGGCAGCUCGCUGGGACGUUACUGACACUGAGGCGCGAAAGCGUGGGGAGCGAACAGG
rnacentral:rRNA from 1 species